CCUUAGCUAUGCUUAAAAGAAGCCUGGGGAACUCCUCUCAAGGUCAUCACAGUUUUGCCUUUGUAUGGGAUGGUCGAUCCCAGCAUGCUGGAAUACAAAAAUGAUCUUGCUGAUUGCAUAUGUGGAUGAUGGUCUUUUGUGGGACUUCUCCAGGACCCUAACAUGAAUAAGCCCAGAGGCAGAUGCUGAAGUUGAAAGAUACCAAAUUUGAGAAUCUUCCUAUUAGCAUCCAACUGGGCUGGCUUCAAACUUAAUAUUCUCCUACAUCAUCUUCGUGAGAGCUGGGAUUAGAAGUGUGUGCUGUCAUCCCAGGCAUCAAGAUUCAUUUGUAAUAAGAUUGAAUGUUGAAAUAGUGAUUAAAGAAAAUGGAAGUGCUUAGGUGAACACAAAGGAAGAAAUCAACCUUAUGAAGAAUGUAAGGAAUAGUAGAUGAAUUUGGAUCAGAAGGCUCAGAUGGAGGCUGACAUAUCAGUGAUGGUGUGAAUGGUGUGCAAAUGAAUGUGGAUACACCCAUGCCAAGGUGCAUAUGUAGAGGUCAGAGGACAACUCUGAAGAAUUAGCCAAGGCAACUAAAGAACUAUUUUUUUUUAAAUUUUACUAGGGUUUAACUAUUCAAAUUUAAGUGGAAAUAAGUGCAUAUCCAUAAAGAAUACAUAUUCAAGAAUUCAGUUCUAGACUUCUUAGAGCUUUACUUCUUUGGGUCUUAAAAUACCAUCUGUACUCUCUCCUUGGAAGAUUGAGGACAAGGACAAGAAAGAGUUUAAAAAGAAUCUACAUUUAAGUGAACAUUUCAGUAAAUAUAAAGAAAAGAAAAACAUCAACACUGGCCAUAAAUUAAAUAAGGGAAUAAAUAUGCAAGUCCAAGGUUUUCCACAGCAUCUCUGUCAUUGGUGCACAUAUGAAUUAUUUUUUCUCACUAUACAGUAUGUCCAUCUUAUAGCAACGAACCCAGUCAUGUUAACUGAUUUAAUUCCUCUGAGAAAAUAAUAAUAAAAAAUAGCAUCUGUGACAACCC